UAGGGAAUCUUCCACAAUGGACGCAAGUCUGAUGGAGCAACGCCGCGUGAGUGAAGAAGGUUUUCGGAUCGUAAAGCUCUGUUGUUGGUGAAGAAGGAUAGAGGUAGUAACUGGCCUUUAUUUGACGGUAAUCAACCAGAAAGUCACGGCUAACUACGUGCCAGCAGCCGCUGUAAUACGUAGGUGGCAAGCGUUGUCCGGAUUUAUUGGGCGUCAAGCGAGCGCAGGCGGAAGAAUAAGUCUGAUGUGAAAGCCCUCGGCUUAACCGAGGAACUGCAUCGGAAACUGUUUUUCUUGAGUGCAGAAGAGGAGAGUGGAAUUCCAUGUGUAGCGUUGGAAUGCGUAGAUAUCUGGCAGAACACCAGUGGCGAAGGCGACUCUCUGGUCUGCAACUGACGCUGAGGCUCGAAAGCAUGGGUAGCGAACAGG
rnacentral:rRNA from 1 species